rnacentral:lncRNA from 1 species
GCUGAGGUGUGUCUGUGUCGCUAGGGUGACACCAAUGACAGGAGUGUCUCCCUCUGUGACUUCACAUCUGGUCAGUUUGGGGAGGGCAGGGCGCAUCUCCACAUCCCUCCCAUGCAUGCCAAGACAGAAAACCAGCUAAUUUUAAAGAAGAGGACUGAGAGGUGGAAAAAGAAAUAUUGCUUCAGCUCUAAGAGCAAGUAUCUAAUAACAACUCAUGUCUUUGGAAGGAAUACUAACAUGAAGAGAGCUGUUCUACAAUUUGUUCUGUGUCAGAAAACAAAGAAAAAAUGUUUUAAACUGAAGUGAAGCAUCCAGCUGUUACCUUUUUUGGUUGAUUUGUUUGUUUGUUUGGUAGUUUUGCUGCUUAUUGGAUUUCAAAUAAGACUGCCAAAUUGUUAGAGUCAUAGUCAUAAAGUCACAGUCAUUGUAGCCUGCUGUAUUUCUUCAACUCUGAUUUUAGCUUGUCUGAAUUUGUUGUCUACAUUCCCAAAAUGUAAGGGUGAGGGUGAAGAAUGUGGUCCCUGUGCACAGACUUUCCAUUGCCUGGCCCAACAGAAAUAUAACAUGUCAGUUGCACUUGUGUUUUAAAUGAGUGUAUAUGUUCACUUAGAUGAAAGGAAAGUUUGAUAUUAAACAAAUGUCAGCUUGUGUAAGUGGAAAGGUUUGUUUUGUUUUAUUGAGAUUUUUUUGUCUGAAAUCUUUUAUCAAACAUUUAUCAUCAAAGAUGUGCAGGUAAUAUUUGCAGCUCUUCAAAGUAGAAUGGAAUAAUCAAGCACUUAUGCUGUACCCUGUGAAUCAUUUCUGGGGACUUUUUAUCUAGAAAAAUGUGUUAAAGUUUUGUGUUGUUCCCCCCUACCCUACCAACAGGAGAAUAGUUGUUCAGACUAUCCAAAGGAAGAGAAUUUCCUAAUCUUUAACUAGUAGUGCUCUCAAACAGCAAAGCAGAGAAGCUCAGUAAUAAUUGGAAACCAAUCCAUGGCUCUUCAAGUGUAUUUGUUUCCAUUAUGACUUGUGUUUCUGAAUUCUGGUCCUUAAUGCAUUAAGCUGCAAUAUUUUGUGUGACUGUAGAAUACAUCAAGGGCCAUUUUUUUUUUUUUUUCAUGCAGAAUAAAGCUCAGUAUUUCUCAAAUAAACCA